ACAAUCUCCAAAGGAGUGAAUA
rnacentral:siRNA from 1 species